GCGCCCGUAGCUCAACCGGAUAGAGCACCGGCCUUCUAAGCCGGGGGUUGGAGAUUCGAGUUCUCCCGGGCGCGCCA
rnacentral:tRNA from 1 species